rnacentral:rRNA from 1 species
GAUGAACGCUGGCGGCGUGCCUAACACAUGCAAGUCGAACGGAGUCCAGCCUUUAAGACCUUCGGGUCAAAGAGGGGAAGACUGAGUGGCGGACGGGUGAGUAACACGUGGGCAACCUGGCUCAUAGAGGGGGAUAACAGAGAGAAAUUUCUGCUAAUACCGCAUAAGCACACACUGCCGCAUGGCAGAGGGUGAAAAGAGAAUCGCUAUGAGAUGGACCCGCGUCUGAUUAGCCAGUUGGCAGGGUAAGAGCCUACCAAAGCGACGAGCAGUAGCCGAUCUGAGAGGAUGAACGGCCACAUUGGGACUGAGACACGGCCCAAACUCCUACGGGAGGCAGCAGUGGGGGAUAUUGCACAAUGGGGGGAACCCUGAUGCAGCGACGCCGCGUGAGUGAAGAAGUAUUUCGGUAUGUAAAGCUCUAUCAGCAGGGAAGAUAAUGACAGUACCUGAAUAAGAAGCCCCGGCUAACUACGUG